GAUCAUACAUAUAAGUUUCAACAUUCAAAGAAUAGAAAUGUAUUAAUGCUGCUUAAUCCACGUAAAGCAUCAAACGCUUAAUCAGACGAAUAUAUUGGUAAUUUUUCAUUUUAGAACUUGUUAAACAUAAACAUAUUACAGGAUAACCAUGCUCGGGGGGGUAAUUACACAUAUACACGAAUUAUAGGACACAGACAAACAUUUAUACCAAUUCUAACGAGUUUUUCCAUCGUGAGAUUCGCUGUUAACUGUUAGUUUGUUAGAUAAAACCUAAGUAUAGUCUUGGCAACUACAUAGAAUCAAAAUACAAUACCGUUACAUGAAUAUAUGUUGUCCCCCUUCAUACAGUGAGCGCCAAAAAGAAGAGGGAUGUCAUCCCACAUAAUUAUAUAUUAAACAGUCUGAAAGGUUUUAAUGGUAUGACAAAUCCAUUGAACUUUAUGAUGGGCUACUUCAUAGGAAAAAGAGUGUGGGCCAAAUCUAGUUGGAGAUAGCAGUACUUCAUCAUGUGGCAUACACCUUGGACUCGUGUACAAUGUCAAAAUGGAAAGCUAAGACAAUUCCCCAUUUUCUUUUUUGUGUAAUUUUUUCCAAAUGCAUAGAGCCAGAAAUUCUCCAGAAAUAGAUAAGUAUUGUCGUGUACAUAAUCACUAAUUCUCCAAUAAAAUGAGAUGCAAAUGGAAUUUCCCAAGUAUAAAUCUAGAGCGACUAAUCACAAUAUUUUCCCAAAGUAGCUCUACCCAUCAAAAGUAGAUUUUCAUCCCUCUCUCUAUGGAACAAAAAACCAAUAUGCCCACAUUAAGAGCCAUCUACAGAAUCAAGAGAGGGGGAGACAUAAGUAACAUAUUGUGGGUAAUGUGCUUCCCACGACAUCAUGUUGGCAUGUGCUACAGGGAGACUCUUUCUUGCGCAUUUGCACCUCUUGGACCCACUCACACAUCAAGUCCUAGCUUGGCUAACCAUCCUAGAAUCCAAGAUCACCUGUUCUCACCUUUUUUCGAUCCUAUAAGCGUUACCCCUACUAAAACAAUUCCCUUAGUAAGUUCUUUGACAAGUACCACAAUAGACACAUUUGGCCAGGUUGCACAUCUAUAACGCCAACUAGUUGCUUCAUCACUACAACCCGAAGCUUACUGCUCAACCAAGGCCCUUGACCACCGAAGUUUCAAUAUAUAUGUGUUUUCAAUGAGUUUCAACACCCCCCAAAAAAGUUUUAAUAAUACGUAUUUUCAAUGGGUCCUGAUAUAUGCCCACCCUGUUGGAAGAUGACUUCCUUGCAGCUACUUUAUUGGACUACAUUAAUCCAUAUUUUCUAGGAACCCAUUGUGAUCAGCAUAUAUAUUACCAACAAUUCCUAUUAUUGUUUUCCAAAUACAGAAAAAGUUCCUGUUUGCUAGUAAUGUUCAUUGCUUUUUCCCAAUUUACCAUUGAACCUGGGCAAUCAAUGACUGAAUAUUGUUUCUUUUCAAAGGUUUAUAGUUUCCAUUGACCUAUUUCUAGCGGCACUCGGCUGUAUUUACUAAUAUUAAAUCCCUUACUAGACAAACCAGAUAAACACAACCAAUGCCAAAUUAUAUUUUUUUUAUUCAUAAAUAUUCGUGUUUAAAUAAGAAUUUAGCAAACAAAAAACAGAGAAAGUUGAAGUACUGUUUUUCCCACAGCCAGCAAAAAACCUCAAAUAACACAUGGGGAGAAAUUGGCACCCCCAGAAGCGCCACAAACUUCUCUUCCAUUGAAUUUACUACGUCGUGUUCUAACUAAAAAACUAGUAUUAUUCAGAUGAUCGGUAAUUUUUUUUUUUUAGGGUUUCAAUUUUUUUCUCUAUGUCUGAUUUGGGUUCUGAUUUUAGGGUUUUUUUGGUUCAUGUUUGAUGUUUUCAAAUGGUAUCAAACCCAAAAGGUCACAUCUACAUUACCAUACCCUCCCAACAUCCCCUCGAAGCUCGUCAUGUACGUGCCUCUCAAUGGACACAUACCCCGCACUGGGCCCUUUUUCAAAUUUCAUUCUAAUAAGGAAACACGAAACAUGCUCAAUCAUUAAGACAAUGGAGAAAAACCAUAACUUUCUAAAGAAUCGGGAAAAGUUAACCGAAUAACAAGGGUUCGAUCUUUACCCUUUUCUCGUGUGAUACAACGGUGAAGAAUCCAAGAACGAACUGCCAGUUGACGAGGGAUAAAGAUUGUUAAAGGUUUAUGGCCAAGGAUUCGUCACUUGUUUGUCCGAAGGGGGACCAGACUCUCGCAUAGAAAAUGGCAAGGUUGCGUAGUGAGAAUAGAGGAGAGGAGAGGAUAGGAGAGGAGCAAUUGGUACGUAGGCUGGUCUUGGUUAAACAGACAACUACCUCACCCCUCAUUUAAUGUCACUUAGCUCCGCUACAGUGACCAAAAAGCCAGAAAAGCUAUUUUUUUUUACUUUUUUUAAGAAGCUCCAAAUAUUUUUGAACUAAAAUAAGCAAAAAGCAAAAAACCAAAAAAAGCAAGUCAAACAAACAGGUUAGUGC
rnacentral:lncRNA from 1 species